UUAGGCACAAUAAAAUGUAAUAAUGUAAUUUUUAUAUGGUCAUUAAGUGGUAAGGAAAUAAUGCGUGAUGAUUGGCUGCGCCAUUUUUACUAUAUUGGCGUUCAGACUGUACGGACAGCUGCCUUGACUCGGAGCGUGAAAUUAGAAGGGAAAAUAGGUAUUGAAGGGGAAAGUGCUAAAGUGUUAAAAUUAUAGACGUUUUUGAAUGACAAGUCCAAGAGGGGAAUAUAACCUCGAAAGGGAUACACGUAUUAAAAGGGAAACUGCGUAUUUGUUGCGGUGGAUCCUAGCGACGGGAGCCGUGAACCAAACUAAUGGGAAGAAGCUAUGAUGGAUGGAAUCCUGGACGCAGUUACGGGCCAUUGAAACGAUGGGCCGGGGUGUCUUCCUGUCCUCACGUCCCCCUGCAAAAGAAAUA